UGUUGUUGCCCGCUGUCAUGGAGAUCCUACAACUUUGGAUCAGGAGAAUCAGAUAUUUCAGGUGCCCCAACAGUUCACAGGUCAACACCAAAGUCUAAUGUAUCUCUGCUGUCUUUGCUCUCCUCCCAGGGCUCAGGCAUGGUGAAGAGGAAAUCCACUUCUGGACUACCUGAGAAACCUUGCUCCUUGCGUGAGCCUUUGAAGCCCCUGCCACAACACAAGGCUACACU